UACGUAGGGGGCAAGCGUUGUCCGGAAUCAUUGGGCGUAAAGCGCGUGUAGGCGGCCCGGUAAGUCCGCUGUGAAAGUCGGGGGCUCAACCCUCGAAUGCCGGUGGAUACUGUCGGGCUAGAGUGCGGGAGAGGCGAGUGGAAUUCCUGGUGUAGCGGUGAAAUGCGUAGAUAUCUGCAGGAACACCCGUGGCGAAAGCGGCGCGCUGGACCACUACUGACGCUGAGGAACGAAAGCUAGGGGAGCAAACAGG
rnacentral:rRNA from 1 species